GCGGCCGCUCCUCCCUUCCUGCUGCUCCUGGUGUCGCCGCCGUCUCAAGGGGAACCCUAGCCUCAGGGAGCAGGGAGGUGGCCGGAGCACACACGUGCAAGUACCGAGGCAACGCUGGGUCCCAAAUCACUUCCGGUUCCGAAUCUUUAGGAUGUACUUGGGUUGUGUUUUCAAGCUAUUCUCUGCAACACCGGCCCUAGAAAUAUACUUUAAAAACAAAGCGGAAGCAUAGAUUCUCAUGCAUUCACAUGACUCCAGGAGCUGGGGCUUCAAGAAAACACCAAAUAUCAUGUGACUUGUAAUAAAAAUCACAAACAUUGACAACA